UACGUAUGGAGCAAGCGUUAUCCGGAUUUACUGGGUGUAAAGGGAGUGUAGGCGGCCUAAUAAGUCUGAUGUGAAAACCCGCGGCUCAACUGCGGGAUUGCAUUGGAAACUGUAAGGCUAGAGUGUCGGAGAGGUAAGUGGAAUUCCUAGUGUAGCGGUGAAAUGCGUAGAUAUUAGGAGGAACACCAGUGGCGAAGGCGGCUUACUGGACGAUAACUGACGCUGAGGCUCGAAAGCGUGGGGAGCAAAC
rnacentral:rRNA from 1 species